AAAGAGUACAGUUUUGCAUUGUUUAUGUGCAAUGUUUGAUUGUCCGUCUUAUUUAAGAAAAAAAUAUGAUUGGUAUUUUUAUUGUUAUUAGAUAAUAAAAUAUGAAUUGUACUUUAUAUGUGACUAUUUUUAAUUAUUUUUUUAAAUAAAACAAACGAUCAAACAUUGGACAUUAAAAUCCAUAACUGCACUUAAA
rfam:Oryza nivara chromosome 3, whole genome shotgun sequence.